rnacentral:rRNA from 1 species
UACGUAGGUGGCAAGCGUUAUCCGGAUUUAUUGGGCGUAAAGGGAACGCAGGCGGUCUUUUAAGUCUGAUGUGAAAGCCUUCGGCUUAACCGGAGUAGUGCAUUGGAAACUGGGAGACUUGAGUGCCGAAGAGGAGAGUGGAACUCCAUGUGUAGCGGUGAAAUGCGUAGAUAUAUGGAAGAACACCAGUGGCGAAAGCGGCUCUCUGGUCUGUAACUGACGCUGAGGUUCGAAAGCGUGGGUAGCAAACAGG